rnacentral:rRNA from 1 species
UACGUAGGGGGCGAGCGUUGUCCGGAUUUAUUGGGCGUAAAGAGCUCGUAGGCGGCUGUUCAAGUCGAACGUGAAAACUCGGAGCUCAACUCCGAGCCUGCGUUCGAUACUGGGCGGCUAGAGUCUGGUAGGGGGACCUGGAAUUCCCGGUGUAGUGGUGGAAUGCGUAGAUAUCGGGAGGAACACCAGUGGCGAAGGCGGUUACCUGGAGCUUUGCUGACGCUGAUGCGCGAAAGCGUGGGGAGCGAUCCGG